rnacentral:lncRNA from 1 species
AUGAAGCAAGCCGGGGGAGUGCGGGAAGCCGAGGGAACGAAGGAGGGCGGCGCGCGGAGCGGAGGAGGGGCGCGCGGAGCGGCGCGCGGCUCCCAUCGGGCGUCGGCGGGGUCCGGCGCGCGUGCGCAUGCGCGGGUCGGGCCGGGGGGUGGAGCGGGCCAAGAUGGCGUCGGCGGGGUCCGGGUCGGGCCCCUUGGGCGGCGGGGCCCCGGCCGGCGGGGGUCCCGCGUCGGACGGCGGGGACUUCCUGUCCCGCUACCGCCUGGUGUCCAGCAAGCUGAAGAAGCGGUUCCUGCGGAAGCCCAACGUGUCGGAGGCCGGCGAGCAGUUCGGGCAGCUGGGCAAGGAGCUGCGGGCGCAGGACUGCCUGCCCUACGCGGCCUGGUGCCAGCUGGCGGUGGCGCGCUGCCAGCAGAGCCUGUUCCACGGCCCGGGCGAGGCGCUGGCGCUGAGCGAGGCGGGCCGCCUGUUCCUGCGGCAGGAGCGGGAGGCGCGGCUGCGGCUGGCCUGCCCCGCCGCCUGGGGCGAGGCGCUGCAGGCCGCCUGCGGCUGCUACGCGCUGGCCGCCCGCCUGCUGGGGCCCGAGCUGGGCCAGCCGGCCGCCGCCGCCGGGCUGUGCCUGGAGCUGGCCGCCGCCCUCAGGGAGCUGGGCCAGCCCGGGGCCGCCGCCGCCCACUUCCAGCGCGCCGCCGAGCUGCAGCUGCCCCUGCUGCCCCUCGACGCCCUGGGCUCGCUGGGCCAGGCCGCCUCCUGCCAGCUGCUGGCCCGCGACUACGACGGCGCCCUGGGCCUCUUCACCCGCAUGCAGCGGCUGGCCGCCCGCCGGACCCCCGGCCCGGCCCCGGGGGCCUUCCUGGACGUGGCCGCCCGCUGCGAGGUGUCCCGCGUCCUGCUGCUGCUGCUGCUGCAGCCGCCGCCCCCCAAGCUGCUGCCCGAGCACGCCCGCACCCUGGAGCGCUACUGCUGGGAGGCCUGCGACGACGACGACGGGCCCGCCCGGGACGGAGGGGCGGCGGGCGCGGGGGGCGCCCCCGGACCCCUGCCCGAGGGGCUCUUCCUCCUGCUGCAGUCGCUGGUGCUGGCCGCCCACGAGAAGGACGUCGAGGCCGUCAAGGCGCUGCAGGCGGAGCUCUGGCCGCUGCUCAGCGCCGAGCAGAACCACCUGCUGCACCUGGUGCUGCAGGAGAUGAUCGCUCCCUCCGGACGGGGCCUCUGAGGCCCCCGGACCCCCGCCCGGGGGGCCCUUCCUCCGGCCGCGGUCCCCGGUCGCGGCCGCCCGCCAGGAGGACGUCGAGGCGCUGCAGGCGGAGCUCCGGACGCUGCUCAGCGCCGAGCAGAACCACCUUUGCCGCACCUGGUGCUGCAGGAGAUGAUCGCUCCCUCCGGACGGGGCCUCUGAGGCCCCCGGACCCCCGCCCGGGGGGCUCUUCCUCCGGCCGCGGUCCCCGGUCGCGGCCGCCCGCCAGGAGGACGUCGAGGCGCUGCAGGCGGAGCUCCGGACGCUGCUCAGACCCCAGCAGAACCACCUUUGCCGCACCUGGUGCUGCAGGAGAUGAUCGCUCCCUCCGGACGGGGCCUCUGAGGCCCCCGGACCCCCGCCCGGGGGGCCCUUCCUCCGGCCGCGGUCCCCGGUCGCGGCCGCCCGCCAGGAGGACGUCGAGGCGCUGCAGGCGGAGCUCCGGACGCUGCUCAGACCCGAGCAGAACCACCUGCCGCACCUCGUUCUGCAGGAGAUGA